GACUAUUCACCUCCUCUUGGACCUGCUUGAGGCCCCUGAUCCGUCUACCCUGGAGAAGUUCCUUGGGACGAUUCCCAUGGUGUUCAAUGUUGUUAUCCUCUCCCCUCAUGGUUACUUCGCUCAAGCUAAUGUCUUGGGUUACCCUGACACUGGAGGCCAGGUAAAAUUCUUAGUUUUUACAUGAAUAUUUGGUUAGAACACUGAACUUGUUCUAAGCAAUAUGCCUAUAAUUGCCAACAGGUUGUCUACAUUUUGGAUCAAGUCCGUGCUAUGGAGAAUGAAAUGCUGCUGAGGAUCAAGCAGUGCGGUCUUGACAUCACACCAAAGAUCCUUAUCGUAAGUGUGAUGACUAAUAUGCUAAAGCAAAACUUACCAACUUAAUCGGUGCGAUAAUGAGCCUUCUUUGUUUUUUUGCACAGGUCACCAGGUUGCUCCCUGAUGCAACUGGCACCACCUGUGGCCAGCGUCUUGAGAAGGUCCUUGGCACUGAGCACUGCCAUAUCCUUCGUGUGCCAUUCAGAACUGAGAAUGGAAUUGUUCGCAAGUGGAUCUCGCGUUUCGAAGUCUGGCCAUACCUGGAGACUUACACCGAUGUAAAUACCAAAUGUUGACUUCUAUUUAAUUUGUUUGUUAAAGAUGAACAUCUUGCUAACUCUUUCUUCAAUUGCUGCCAGGAUGUGGCGCACGAGAUUGCUGGAGAGCUCCAGGCCAAUCCUGACCUGAUCAUUGGAAACUACAGUGAUGGAAACCUUGUUGCUUGUUUGCUUGCCCACAAGAUGGGUGUUACUCACGUAUGACUCCUAAUUAACUAUUUAGAUUAGAAGUAAUUUUCAUUGCUGCUCCUGUUCAUUGCUCAUGUUGCCUUUUCCCUUGAUAUGCAGUGUACCAUUGCCCAUGCACUUGAGAAAACUAAGUACCCUAACUCUGACCUCUACUGGAAGAAGUUCGAGGACCACUACCACUUCUCGUGCCAAUUCACCACUGACUUGAUUGCCAUGAACCACGCUGACUUCAUUAUUACCAGUACCUUCCAAGAGAUUGCUGGAAAGUAAGUAAUAUUUGUUCAAGCAAAUUUUGCUGAUAAAUUUACCAAUUAUGGUCAUGCUGUUAGAGUUCCAUGAUCUGAUGAUUUUCUUCUUCUUCUGAAUUUUCAGCAAGGACACUGUUGGCCAGUAUGAGUCCCACAUGGCCUUCACAAUGCCUGGUCUGUACCGUGUUGUCCACGGUAUUGAUGUGUUUGACCCGAAGUUCAACAUUGUCUCACCUGGUGCGGACAUGUCCAUCUACUUCCCUUACACCGAGUCACACAAGAGGCUGACCUCCCUCCACCCUGAGAUUGAGGAGCUCCUCUA
rnacentral:lncRNA from 1 species